rnacentral:rRNA from 1 species
AGGGAAUCUUCCGCAAUGGGCGAAAGCCUGACGGAGCAACGCCGCGUGAGUGAUGAAGGCCUUCGGAUCGUAAAACUCUGUUAUUAGGGAAGAACAUAUGUGUAAGUAACUGUGCACAUCUUGACGGUACCUAAUCAGAAAGCCACGGCUAACUACGUGCCAGCAGCCGCGGUAAUACGUAGGUGGCAAGCGUUAUCCGGAAUUAUUGGGCGUAAAGCGCGCGUAGGCGGUUUUUUAAGUCUGAUGUGAAAGCCCACGGCUCAACCGUGGAGGGUCAUUGGAAACUGGAAAACUUGAGUGCAGAAGAGGAAAGUGGAAUUCCAUGUGUAGCGGUGAAAUGCGCAGAGAUAUGGAGGAACACCAGUGGCGAAGGCGACUUUCUGGUCUGUAACUGACGCUGAUGUGCGAAAGCGUGGGGAUCAAACAGGAUUAGAUACCCUGGUAGUCCACGCCGUAAACGAUGAGUGCUAAGUGUUAGGGGGUUUCCGCCCCUUAGUGCUGCAGCUAACGCAUUAAGCACUCCGCCUGGGGAGUACGACCGCAAGGUUG